AGCAGAACAAAGGAACAAAAGGAGGCACCAUGACAAUUGGGGUAUACCAGAAUAUCAUUUGAGCUUCCAAGAAUUGACACAGCCAAUAGUUUGUAUAAGUGAUAAUAAAACUGAGAUGAGGUUUUGGUAGCCUAACCACCCACCAAUCGCCUCCAAGUUUUGAAUACAACUUGAAUUGGUUGGCAAUCAGAACCCGACGUACUGUGUGUAUUG
rnacentral:misc_RNA from 1 species